rnacentral:misc_RNA from 1 species
UACAGGAACUGGGAGAGGAAGGGAAUCACUGCCAUGUGUACAAUACUAAAGAAUGGAAACAUAAUGUCUUUUCAGGACCUUAGAGAAAUGUAUGGAUUAAAAAAUUAGGAUAUUUUUUUAGAUAACUACAGCUAAGGGAUUAUAUUAUAAGGGAAAUAGGGAGCGCAAAAAUAUUAAACGGAGUGAUAGAUGUACUAAUGCGAGUAUAUAAUGGGUCAAAAAUCAAGGUGGUAUCUGUGUUAUAUCAAAACCUCAGAGACUGUACGAGUGCUUCAACUGAUUACAUUAGGGCUAGAUGGGAGACGGAGCUGGUCCUGCAGUCAGGCCCCCAGUUUAGCCAGGCAGGGCCUCACAACCAG